rnacentral:rRNA from 1 species
AGUGAACGCUGGCGGUAGGCCUAACACAUGCAAGUCGAACGGCAGCACAGUAAGAGCUUGCUCUUACGGGUGGCGAGUGGCGGACGGGUGAGGAAUACAUCGGAAUCUACUUUUUCGUGGGGGAUAACGUAGGGAAACUUACGCUAAUACCGCAUACGACCUACGGGUGAAAGCAGGGGAUCUUCGGACAUUGUGCGAUUGAAUGAGCCGAUGUCGGAUUAGCUAGUUGGCGGGGUAAAGGCCCACCAAGGCGACGAUCCGUAGCUGGUCUGAGAGGAUGAUCAGCCACACUGGAACUGAGACACGGUCCAGACUCCUACGGGAGGCAGCAGUGGGGAAUAUUGGACAAUGGGCGCAAGCCUGAUCCAGCCAUACCGCGUGGGUGAAGAAGGCCUUCGGGUUGUAAAGCCCUUUUGUUGGGAAAGAAAAGCAGCAGGUUAAUACCCCGCUGUUCUGACGGUACCCAAAGAAUAAGCACCGGCUAACUUCGUG